rnacentral:rRNA from 1 species
GAUGAACGCUAGCUACAGGCUUAACACAUGCAAGUCGAGGGGUAACGAGAGGAAAGCUUGCUUUCCUUGUCGACGACCGGCGCACGGGUGAGUAACGCGUAUCCAACCUGCCCCCAACUAGGGAAUAACCUUGCGAAAGUAAGACUAAUACCCUAUAAUUUCCUCAGAUGUCAUCUGACGAGGAAUAAAGAUUUAUCGGUUGUGGAUGGGGAUGCGUCUGAUUAGCUUGUUGGCGGGGUAACGGCCCACCAAGGCAACGAUCAGUAGGGGUUAUGAGAGGAAUGUCCACCACAGUGGAACUGAGACACGGUCAAACUCCUACGGGAGGCAGCAGUGAGGAAUAUUGGUCAAUGGGCGGAAGCCUGGACCAGCCAAGUAGCGUGCAGGAUGACGGCCCUAUGGGUUGUAAACUGCUUUUAUACAGGAAUAAAGUUAGCCACGUGUGGUUAUUUGUAGGUACUGUAUGAAUAAGGACCGGCUAAUUCCGUGCCAGCCGCCGCGGUAA